CCCUGAUUGUUUCCACCUGUUCCCCAUUACCCUCAUGUGUUUUAUAAGCCCACGCCUCCCUUUGUUCUGUGCCAGAUUGACUUGUUUAUUCGUGCCUCUCUAGCCUCCUGUCCAUGCCUUGCCUCAGCUCGUGUUUGAAUGCCUUGAUCCUGGAUUCCUUCGUUAAUAUUUUGAGUUUUCUUUUUCUCCUCCUCAGCAGAGUGAUUUUGUGUUAUUUAGUUUUACAGCCGAAGUGGGAAAUGGAGGCAAUAACGGAGAGGGCUAGCAUUUGAAAAGAGAAGAUGAGGGGCAGCUGUAGCUGGCACACUAUGUCCCCCGGCUGACCCAGGAACAGUGCCACGCUGAGACAGGCUCCCAUCGUGCUGAAAAGCACCACAAAGCUCCAGGGGCCACCAGACGCUGCCACCAUGGGGGUUUGUCGGUGCCUCAGAUAGACGACAGCCACUGCGCCCUGACAGGACAACAGCAGCAGCCCAAUCAACGCCACUGUUAUCGCUGCAGGCCUGUCCCAGGACAAAACCUCAAAGAGGUAAGAACUGCUUCAGAAACACCUCCCACACACCUUCAGACUCCAGGGGCCCCUGCAAUGUUUGGUCUGGGGCGUCAGGGCUGAUUUACUUUGACCACAACAGUGAGUAGGCGACGUCCUCUCCAGAUGAUGACAUAACCUGACAUUUUUCCUGUCUUUACAUUGGUUAGACACAAAUGUAAAUGUGCAGUAAUCUUACCUCAUCCUAGACUAGACUAUUUCUUUAAACCGGGGAUGUGAAACUUGUUUUCAUUGAGGGCCACAUCGCCGUUAUGGCUGCCAUCAGAGGGCGAAAAAUGUAUGAAUUUGCUGGAUUUUAUAAUCAAUUAUAUAA